AUUGAACGCUGGCGGCAGGCCUAACACAUGCAAGUCGAACGGUAACAGGAAGAAGCUUGCUUCUUUGCUGACGAGUGGCGGACGGGUGAGUAAUGUCUGGGAAACUGCCUGAUGGAGGGGGAUACCUACUGGAAACGGUAGCUAAUACCGCAUAACGUCGCAAGCCCAAAAAGGGGGACCUUCGGGCCUCUUGCCAUCGGCUGUGCCCAGAUGGGAUUAGCUAGUAGGUGGGGUAACGGCUCACCUAGGCGACGAUCCCUAGCUGGUCUGAGAGGAUGGCCAGCCACACUGGAACUGAGACACGGUCCAGACUCCUACGGGAGGCAGCAGUGGGGAAUAUUGCGCAAUGGGCGCAAGCCUGAUGCAGCCAUGCCGCGUGUAUGAAGAAGGCCUUCGGGUUGUAAAGUACUUUCAGCGGGGAGGAAGGGAGUAAAGUUAAUACCUUGGCUCAUUGACGUUACCCGCAGAAGAAGCACCGGCUAACUCCGUG
rnacentral:rRNA from 1 species